UGCCCCCUGGGCAGUCCUAAGAAAAGCUUUAGCUUUAAUUGGUAAACAUAAAAUGGAAGAAAGUCACAGGAAGUGAUGAAAAGAAAUGUCUUUAAAAAUGCCAAGAACUCCCUGUGAGUAGGGCUCUAAGGUUUUUGCCUUCAACUUGACUUUGGAGGAGCUCUGACUGAGGAUCUAAGACUGCUUCUACUUUCCUUAAACUACCCUGUGAGGGUGUUGAGAUGUGGAAUCUAUUCUGCUGAUAUGGAGUAGAAGAAAUAAGAAAGGUUUUGAAGGUUCUGAGACUGUCAACAUGGUGCUUAACAAGGAAAUGCCAGUUUCAACUAGAACCAGGCUCUCCAAUCACGUUCCU
rnacentral:lncRNA from 1 species